GCUUACGGCCAUACCAGCCCAAGAACGCCCGGUCUCGUCUGAUCUCGGAAGCUAAGAAGGCUUGGGGCCUGGUUAGUACUUGGAAUGGGAGACCUCCUGGGAAUACCAGGUGCUGUAAGCU
ensembl:rRNA 5S_rRNA 5S ribosomal RNA